rnacentral:lncRNA from 1 species
CUUUUCGCAUAUGGAGCAGCAAUCAGCUUACAACUAAAUCACAUCUGAGCACAAGCUGUCUCCACAAAGCCAACCAAAGAGGCAACAUUCACAGGCUGACAAAGCAUCCCUAAAGCAGGAAAGAAAAGAAGCCCCUGAGGCUGCUGCCCGGAGAAGGAAAAGGCUUUCAACAUUCAUACCAGUCUGUUGGGGCAUUGUGCAGACCACAGAGGGAGAGUAACUGAUGGAAUACUCUCUGAAGUUCACACUUGGGCGAAGCUGCAUGUUUAACAUCAGGAGUGGGAGGAAAGUUUAAAGAACCUUGCCAGUGAUGUAUUAUUAAAGAAGGAAGGAAGGAGGAAGAAUGGAAGGAGGAGGGAAGAAGAAGGAAGGAGGUGAGAGGUGUGCGGAGAGGAGAAAAAAACAAGGAAGAAUGGAGAAUUGUCAUUACUUACCAUAACCAUUUUGCCAUCCUUAAUUUCUCUUACAAAAUUUGUUUCUUUGCCAUCCCAUUUCUGUAUGUGAACAAGUUUGUCUCCAUCCAGGCUAACAACAGACUGAGACCAACAACAAAAUGCAGAACAUAGCAAUAAAUACAAUUCAGAUUUCUGAUACGGAAGACGAUGUGAUUUUUGAAAGAGUUGUAUAAUUGAAUAAAUCAUGAUCAGUUAAUUAUCCUAUUGUUAUUUCUAUUACUUCUAGAUUUUCUAUUAUGUAAAUUUGAAUUCAUAAUUUGAUUAAAAAGUAUACAUCUAAAUACAAAAAUUUAAUAUAUUAAAAACAAAAAUCCUAAACCAGUGCUUUGCAGCUAGUCGUCCCUCUAAAGAAAGCCUUAGAAUGAGGCAAACUGUCUAUUUAGUCAAUCUGAGGCAACCUGGGGAAUUAAACAAAAUGCAAUCUCUCUUUCAAACAAACCUUAUUAAAUAUUUUCUGAAAUACAAGUUUGAUAUAAAAUGUGAACAGUAUAUGGUAAGAGACAAAUACAACUGAGAUUUAUGCUAUAGCAAGUACCCAUUGUUCAAAAUAUAAC